CAGCACCUCAAGUGGUCAGGAUGAUUAUUGGGCCUAAAGCAUCCGUAGCCUGCUCUGUUAGUUUUCGGUUAAAUCCAUACGCUCAACGUAUGGGCUGCCGGGAAUACUGCAAAGCUAGGGAGUGGGAGAGGUAGACGGUACUCGGUAGGAAGGGGUAAAAUCCUUUGAUCUAUUGAUGACCACCUGUGGCGAAGGCGGUCUACCAGAACACGUCCGACGGUGAGGGAUGAAAGCUGGGGGAGCAAACCGGAUUAGAUACCCGAGUAGUCC
rnacentral:rRNA from 1 species